CCACUAGUAAUAAUAAUAAAACUGGAACAAUAUAGAAAAGAUUAGCAUGGCCCCUGCAAAAGGAUGACACGCAAAUUUGUGAAGUGUUCCAUGUUUUA
rfam:Myotis brandtii contig163540, whole genome shotgun sequence.